AACGCGAAGAACCUUACCAGCCCUUGACAUGUCCAGGACCGGUCGCAGAGAUGUGACCUUCUCUUCGGAGCCUGGAGCACAGGUGCUGCAUGGCUGUCGUCAGCUCGUGUCGUGAGAUGUUGGGUUAAGUCCCGCAACGAGCGCAACCCCCGUCCUUAGUUGCUACCAUUUAGUUGAGCACUCUAAGGAGACUGCCGGUGAUAAGCCGCGAGGAAGGUGGGGAUGACGUCAAGUCAUCAUGCCCCUUAUGAUCUGGGCUACACACGUGCUACAAUGGGGCAUACAGGGGGUCGCGAAGCCGCGAGGUGGAGCCAAUCCCAAAAAGUGCCUCUCAGUUCGGAUUGCAGGCUGCAACUCGCCUGCAUGAAGUCGGAAUCGCUAGUAAUCGCAGGUCAGCAUACUGCGGUGAAUACGUUCCCGGGUCUUGUACACACCG
rnacentral:rRNA from 1 species